rnacentral:antisense_RNA from 1 species
AGAGGGGCUUCCACGACGGCGACGUCUGGGGGCCUUUCUUUUUAUC